ensembl:snoRNA
UGGACCAAGAAUGAUGACUGGCGGUGUGUGAGUCCUAUAUGAUGAAUAUGUGUCUAGAACUCUGAGGUCCAA